rnacentral:rRNA from 1 species
AACGCUAGCUACAGGCUUAACACAUGCAAGUCGAGGGGCAGCAUGAACUUAGCUUGCUAAGUUUGAUGGCGACCGGCGCACGGGUGAGUAACGCGUAUCCAACCUUCCGUACACUCAGGAAUAGCCUUUCGAAAGAAAGAUUAAUACCUGAUGGUAUGAUGAGAUUGCAUGAAAUCAUCAUUAAAGAUUCAUCGGUGUACGAUGGGGAUGCGUUCCAUUAGAUAGUAGGCGGGGUAACGGCCCACCUAGUCGACGAUGGAUAGGGGUUCUGAGAGGAAGGUCCCCCACAUUGGAACUGAGACACGGUCCAAACUCCUACGGGAGGCAGCAGUGAGGAAUAUUGGUCAAUGGGCGCGAGCCUGAACCAGCCAAGUAGCGUGAAGGAUGAAGGUCCUACGGAUUGUAAACUUCUUUUAUAAGGGAAUAAAGUCACCUACGUGUAGGUGUUUGUGUGUACCUUAUGAAUAAGCAUCGGCUAACUCCGUGCCAGCAGCCGCGGUAAUACGGAGGAUGCGAGCGUUAUCCGAAUUUAUUGGGUUUAAAGGGAGCGUAGACGGGUCGUUAAGUCAGCUGUGAAAGUUUGAGGCUCAACCUUAAAAUUGCAGUUGAUACUGGCGUCCUUGAGUACGGUUGAGGCAGGCGGAAUUCGUGGUGUAGCGGUGAAAUGCAUAGAUAUCACGAAGAACUCCGAUUG